rnacentral:lncRNA from 1 species
AUUUAGAGGGACUCUCUAACCUGAGUACACAUUUGAAACAUCUGAGGGCUUUGAAACAUACCUGCUCCUGGACCACCUGCUGAACCAAUUAAAUCAGAAUUUCUGUUGUGAAGAUCUCCACGUGAGUUUAAGCUUUCCUGCUCAACUGUUAGUUCCAUGAAGGCAACAGCCAUGCCUGCUUCGUUCACUGAAAUAUCUUCGUUUCCUAACACACAGAAAGUCAUCAUUUUUUGACGGAUGAAAGAAUGGAUGAAUGCCUAGUCUUGGAGACAUCUACUUGCAAUAAAGGUUGGGGAAGUUCUCCUGGAUAAUAUCCUGAAGAGUGUUUUCCAGCUUGGUUCCAUUCUCCCGGUCACUUUCAGGUGAAGAAACAGAGGCAAAGGGAGCAUAAGCAAUUUUCCAAAGGCCAUACAACAUGUAAGUGGCUGAGCCAAGACUGAAAUCACCAGGUUCUUAACCACUAGGCCAUAUUGCAUUGGAGUGUUGCCUCCUGGAGUAAGACUAGGCUAAAAGCUUCAUAGAAACCUAAAGGAGUUAGAGAAGGAAGAUCUCUCAAUGGAAAUGCUAAGAAGAGACACAAGGAAAGACACAUCACUAAGGAGAGACCCAAGGAAAAUGGCUCUAUGACUACAGUCCAUUUAAAGAAUGAGGGCGUUCCUUCUACCAAGUUACAGGUGGAGAUGUGUUUACCUGCUGGAUACCAAUGCUUCUAGCAUCAGGGAGAAGUUGAGCCCUGGAGGAAACAUUGCCUCUAAGUUUGUGUUCUGGUGCUACAUACUGCAAAGCAAAGUAUCUACAACAACUGCAAUAAGCCACCCUGAUCAUUCUUCAACCUAAAGAUUUGCAACUCAUCCAAGUUCAACUGGUUGAAAGAGCCUGCCUCCUCACAGCAGUGCCUGAUUGACACUAUGAACUGAAAUACUAAAGGCACUUCUUCUUUCAGGAUAACUGAUUAAAUGUUCUGGCUGGUAAAGCAGGUCAUCACUCAACUGUUGUGGCUUUGGCAAGAUGCCACCAAAGCAGCCCAUCAUGGUUGGCAGAGAUGUAAAGGCCCCACAUAUUACAGAACACCCUUUGAUAUGCAGACUAAUUAAUAGAAGACCUAAGCCUUUCAAGGGACUUCUAUACCAUAGGAUGUUAGGAGACAUCAAGAACACAAAUGAAACUAAGAUUUUCAUACAGGGUUCAGGUUUUGUUACUUCAGAUCUAUAAUCUAAAGUUCUGUAAUCAUCACAUCACUCCAAGAACAAAAUUUGAUAGGCAAAAUUCUUCACACUCAUUUCAUGGAGAACCUUGAGGGUCCAGAGUGAGGCUUGAUGGCAAGCAGGAGCUCCCUGUCCCCUGUCUCCACCCAUGCAACCCCUAGCUCCCCCAUUGUUUUCACUCUAGAUUUGUGAAGUAUAACAACCUUAAAAUCUUAAGAUUUAAUCUUUAAAUAUUAAGAGAUUUGGGUUUCUGUAUCAACAAUCUUUAAAUAUUAAGAGAUUUUUCCGAAGAUUAAUGACUUUCCUAGAGUUGGCCUACAAAUUCACCACCUCAACUGGAUGACUUGCUUUGGAAUAAAUUUCUAACACCGCAAGUGAAUUGAAUAUUUUCUUCCUUUUUUAUGUAAUCUAAUAUAGUACAUUUUUAAAAAUUUAUAGGAUGUCCAGACACUUAUAGCUUAUCAUUCUAUGAUUCAAAAGAAUUUGGUAUAAUUGCAUUGAUAAGCUUACUGCCCUGGGCACCAAAGUAACCUAGAAUAUGGAGAAGUAGCUUUUGGUGACAUGCAUCUAUUUAUAUCUCUAGCAUUUACUAAUUAAUUAAUUUGUUUAACAAAUACACAUUCAGUACCAUUAUAUGUUUGGCAUUGUCAUAGAUGUUAGAAAAUCAAAUAUAAAAAAGAGGUAAUUUCUUCACAACACACGGAAAUAAGAGUAUCUCUAGGAAUUGUCUCUAGUUGAAAUUGUUUUCUCCUACCCACCUCUACGAUUCAUCAAUUUAGCUUUCCUUCACUGUAGUGACAGGUGUUUUAAUCUCACCUAACAAUAUGCCUGAUUAAGCUUCAACAUACACAGAGAGAGGCCUGAAAAACAUAACUUGGUCUCUAUGUCUAAGUUUAUGUUGUUAGUAAUAGUUAUAAGAGCCACAGCGAUGGCACCAUGGCGUUACCUUCUCUGAAGGCUUUCCCAGCUUUCCUAGCAAAGCUCUUUUCUCUUCCCUCUGGUUAAAAAAUAAAUAAAAAAAAAAUAAAGGUUUUUCCUUUAUUGUUAUUCUUAUGUGUCUGAUUUUAUCACAUUUAUUGUUUUGUUUUCUGAUUGUAUAAGUCAUACAUGCUCAUUUAGAAAACUUGGAAACUAUGGAAAAAGAGAAAUAAAAAAUAAAAUCCACUCUAAUCUA